rnacentral:rRNA from 1 species
AUGAACGCUGGCGGCGUGCCUAAUCCAUGCACGUCGAGCGAACAGACGAGGAGCUUGCUCCUCUGACGUUAGCGGCGGACGGGUGAGUAACACGUGGAUAACCUACCUAUAAGACUGGGAUAACUUCGGGAAACCGGAGCUAAUACCGGAUAAUAUAUUGAACCGCAUGGUUCAAUAGUGAAAGACGGUUUUGCUGUCACUUAUAGAUGGAUCCGCGCCGCAUUAGCUAGUUGGUAAGGUAACGGCUUACCAAGGCGACGAUGCGUAGCCGACCUGAGAGGGUGAUCGGCCACACUGGAACUGAGACACGGUCCAGACUCCUACGGGAGGCAGCAGUAGGGAAUCUUCCGCAAUGGGCGAAAGCUUGACGGAGCAACGCCGCGUGAGUGAUGAAGGUCUUCGGAUCGUAAAACUCUGUUAUUAGGGAAGAACAAAUGUGUAAGUAACUAUGCACGUCUUGACGGUACCUAAUCAGAAAGCCACGGCUAACUACGUG